rnacentral:tRNA from 1 species
ACCUACUUAACUCAGCGGUUAGAGUAUUACUUUCAUACAGCGAGAGUCAUUGGUUCAAAUCCAAUAGUAGGUA